CCUACGGGAGGCAGCAGUGGGGAAUUUUGGACAAUGGGCGCAAGCCUGAUCCAGCCAUGCCGCGUGCGGGAAGAAGGCCUUCGGGUUGUAAACCGCUUUUGUCAGGGAAGAAAUCCUUUGAGCUAAUACCUCGGAGGGAUGACGGUACCUGAAGAAUAAGCACCGGCUAACUACGUGCCAGCAGCCGCGGUAAUACGUAGGGUGCGAGCGUUAAUCGGAAUUACUGGGCGUAAAGCGUGCGCAGGCGGUUAUGCAAGACAGAUGUGAAAUCCCCGGGCUUAACCUGGGAACUGCAUUUGUGACUGCAUAGCUCGAGUACGGCAGAGGGGGAUGGAAUUCCGCGUGUAGCAGUGAAAUGCGUAGAUAUGCGGAGGAACACCGAUGGCGAAGGCAAUCCCCUGGGCCUGUACUGACGCUCAUGCACGAAAGCGUGGGGAGCAAACAGGAUUAGAUACCCUGGUAGUCCACGCCCUAAACGAUGUCAACUGGUUGUUGGACGGCUUGCUGUUCAGUAACGAAGCUAACGCGUGAAGUUGACCGCCUGGGGAUACGGCGCAAGGUUGAAACUCAAAGAUAGAGGNGNGAGAGAGCGACGACGACGACGAGGAGGAGGNG
rnacentral:rRNA from 1 species